GCUGUUAAGGGUUCGUAGUUGAAUUGAGGGCCGUCAAGGAGACGAUUCAGUCCUACCCUUCGGGUCGUGACCAUCGCUCUUGCGGCUCGUGAACAUUCAGAAACAAACAUCUCGGAAACGUUUCCCCCCAUCCACGCAUGCAAUGUAUGCAGGGGGGCGUCCGUGUGUCUUACUGUGCUAAAAAAGUGCGACCAAAGCAGUCGUUCGACAUGAAUUAGAAAGCAUGGGAUAACAAAGGUCAGCCUACGGGCUACCGUUUCGGCUUUUGUUGGUUUUAGAGGUCUGUAGGAGAUUAUGGCUCGCACGACAGGCGGCUCGGGGUAUCGUCCCCACGUUUCCGUCGUCAGGUGGCUCUUCGGGGUCCCUGCGGCGGCUUGCGGCGUCCGGAAUGAAGGAGGGUUGUUCGGGGGAGACGUACUUGAGCGUGAGAGGUGAAAUUCUUAGACCGCUCAAAGACGAACUACAGCGAAGGCUUCUCCAAGGAUACCUUCCUCAAUCAAGAACCAAAGUGUGGAGAUCGAAGAUGAUUAGUACCAUUGUAGUCC
rnacentral:rRNA from 1 species